GCAUUAAUGGGGUAGUGGUAACCUGGGUCGUUGCCAAGCAUCGGGGAUUUCAAACCCUCGAUUGCAUAAUGUCGACCCGCCGGGGGUUCAAUUCCCCCUUAAUGCA
rnacentral:tRNA from 1 species